rnacentral:rRNA from 1 species
GAGGGGCCCGCGUCGGAUUAGCUAGUUGGCGGGGUAAUGGCCCACCAAGGCUACGAUCCGUAGCUGGUCUGAGAGGAUGAUCAGCCACACUGGGACUGAGAUACGGCCCAGACUCCUACGGGAGGCAGCAGUGGGGAAUAUUGGACAAUGGGGGAAACCCUGAUCCAGCAAUGCCGCGUGAGUGAAGAAGGCCUUAGGGUUGUAAAGCUCUUUCGGCGGGGACGAUGGUGACGGUACCCGCAGAAGAAGCCCCGGCUAACUUCGUGCCAGCAGCCGCGGUAAUACGAAGGGGGCUAGCGUUGUUCGGAAUCACUGGGCGUAAAGGGCGCGUAGGCGGCGCGACAAGUCAGGCGUGAAAGCCCCGGGCUCAACCCGGGAAUUGCGCUUGAUACUGUCGUGCUUGAGGCCGGGAGAGGAUGGCGGAAUUCCCAGUGUAGAGGUGAAAUUCGUAGAUAUUGGGAAG